rnacentral:misc_RNA from 1 species
CUGCCCUCAAGCCCGGCUUGCGUGUUGGGCGGGGUCCCCCCCUUUUAUCUGUUGGGGGGACCUGCCCGAAAGGCAGCGGCGACGUCGCGUCGGGUCCUCGAGCGUAUGGGGCUUUGUCACCCGCUCGGGAGGGACCUGCGGGCGUUGGUCACACCUGUAUUUCUCCACGG